UGAACAGGAUGAAACGCUGACUGAUGGGA
rnacentral:piRNA from 1 species